AAGACCAAUAAUGAGUAUUCUGGGGUAUUUGAAUCAAUGAUUCUGAUUAAACCCUAUAACUCGGAGGUCUAA
ensembl:snoRNA